rnacentral:rRNA from 1 species
UACGGAGGGUGCGAGCGUUGUCCGGAAUCACUGGGCGUAAAGGGCGCGUAGGCGGCAGGCCAAGCGUGCGGUGAAAGUCCGGGGCUCAACCCCGGAUCUGCCGUGCGGACUGGUUUGCUAGAGCACUGUAGAGGCGAGUGGAAUUCCGGGUGUAGCGGUGGAAUGCGUAGAGAUCCGGAAGAACACCGGUGGCGAAGGCGGCUCGCUGGGCAGUGGCUGACGCCGAGGCGCGACAGCGUGGGGAGCAAACAGG